UCUUUAAAAAAGUUAAAAUUUAAUUCAAAUAUUAUUUUAGAAUCAUUAAUUUCAUAGAUUUCGCAAACAGAAAAAGUCAUUUAAUUAAUAAAUUUCAACUUUUUCCACGCGAGCCAUUUGACAUAUUACAUUUCCAUGAAAGAUAUCAAAUGAAAUGACGAAGGUUGUGCGCAAAUACAUUGUGUUUUAUGGAAGGCAGAGUGCGCAAAAAAGGGCUUGGAAGGCUUAUCAUUUAUUGAAAUAAUUCACAAAAACAUUGCACUUCAACUGAACUUAAAUCACAUAUGAAAGAACAGCAUACUAUACAUUUUGGAGUUCAUAAACACUUUUUAAUUAAAUGUUGCGUAACGCAUGGCUUAUAUUUCGGUAUAUUUUCAUUUAUCUCAAAUGUGUGUUAUACGGAAUAAUGUUUGGGUUUGAAAAGUGUAAGUUUAAUAUAUGACGGACGGCGAAUUCGAGCUUAAAUUUCAAAUAUUGCUAUGCAUUCCACUGUUGCUCUAUAGAAUCUUUGGAAUCGACUCAAGCAAAAUUAAAAAAACAUAAAUGGCCUGAGUCUUAAGAUAAUUUGAAUUCUCUGUAUCGUCAUUCUAAACUCAAGUAUAAAUUUGAUACACAAAAAAUGUUACAGAUCUCUUUAGAAUAUAUUCAAAAUUGAUUAUUUGAGAUUUUUCGAGAUUUUUAAAAAAAUAUACACAAAAAUUAAAAGUCCUCUCUUUACAAUAAUGAACAUGUAUGGAUGUAUGUAAAUAUGUGUUUAAAAAUAUAUUAUAUAGAAAUUUAGGGGUUUAAAAUAAUUUUGGUAGAUAAAAAUGGAUACGGUUUUUAUGUAGUAUUACUAGUUAAUAAACUGUAAAUUUGUAAGUUCAAUUUUUGUUAAAGAAGUAAUGCAAAAGUUUCCAAGUUGAACAGAACUUUGCAUUUUCACAGGAAAAUGAUUCCCGUGAUUUGCUCGGGAAACAACUUUUGUUUCUAAUAAUUUCUUGUCGCUUUUAAAAUAGAAAAUUUGGGCAGAAUAAAAAUUAAAAAGGCGAAUAGAGAAAUAUAAGGUAAUGAAGUAAAUCAAACAAAAUAGUACUCAUUGCAAACCGACAUAAAUUUAAUAAAAUUAAAUUAAUAUUUUUUCGUUGGUGCAUAAAUACAAAUUUCCAAAGGCCUUUACAGUUUAUUGGAAAACAUAACGAAUCUAAUAAUAUUAAUAUAUUUCAUUUCAUUUUCAUUUAUAUUUUCAGGGGAAGGACCUACCUUUUCUUAGACUGUUCACCCCUCACGCUUACUGCUUUGCUGCUCGAACUCUCUUUUAAUUUGCAUUUUCAAAUCGUUAACACCAUGACCAAUAUAAUAAAGCACGCAAUCAUUACACGCCUUACUUAGCGGCACUGCUUUGGUCAUGCAUCAUUAAUAUAAACACACAGAACUGUUGGCUAUUUCAUGCCUUUCCAUCGGACAUCAUCAUUGAACACAAGAACCAAAUUUUUAUACAGAUAUAUAUUAAGUAUUGUUUGAACUUCCGUGUUCCGGUUUUCACUGCACUUCCGUUCGUAUGCAUCAACCGCGACUCGACACCACUCAACUAAACUGAAUUCGAUGCAAAGCCCAAAAACAAGCCCAACAGUCCAAACUGGCAACCACAAUAGCAGCACGGAGACCAACAACGAAAGAAUUCUCCCGAAAAGCCUGUGAGCAGGGUCGAACUCUGUUGGCGCUGCAAAACGGCUUACAAUACACGAAGCUGAACUAGCAUUAGCAGCGAUGACGGCGAGCGAAUGACCGAAUGGCCAAACGACGAAAUGUUAGCUUCAGCAGUGAUCUCGCAAUCGUCCAUUAACAGCAGUGCUUUAAACAGUGGCGGCGCUGUUAGCCAAACAGGAUGUAUGACCGCGUUGAGGAUGACUACUAUUCUUGUUGGCAGUGAAGGAAUUGGCAGUGUUAACCGAUCCAAGUUUUAAAAGAACUACUUUAGCGGCAUAAAAUGCACAGCACAUGUAAACACGACAGUGUUAAGUUCACAACUCACUGAAUUAAACUAUGCCUUACACGAGUUAGAGUUGCAAUUGGGUCUAUACGAAACAAAACACUGUAGCAUACUUUACUGCGCUGCUGAGAAUCAUCAUUAUGUUUCCGAACGUAUUUUUUACGUUUGUGACAAACAAUUUGAAUACUCUAUUAUUUAACGGUCAUCGGCAGAUAGUCAUACACACACAUUCACAGAUUAUUGAAAGUCGUAUUAGUUCCACAAUUUCUUGUUCAUCUCGUACGUUGGACUCUACUUUAAAACACUCACACACUCUAAGCACUUGACAAGCUUACGAGUAGCGCACAGCUACCGUGACAUGUGCGUGCACGCGGAAACACAAGUGAAAACUGAAACUGUUCUACAGCUCGAACAUGGAUCGGCUCUGUGUCGAUGGAAUGUUGCAGUAUUGUUUGUGAUGGGAAAAUGCACACACAACACACAAGCGUUUUCACACUCGCACAGCUUUCUGCUAAUAUUAGCACAGUGAAUAUGGUAGACGAACUAGCGUGAGCGUGCUAUUGAAGAAAGUUCACAAAUAAGAACAAAAUGCACACAAAGACCAAACGGAGAGCAGCAAUGCCUUUGCAGCACAACACAAACAAACAGCGUUGAAAUACGCCGCGAACGAAUACGAAACUGUUUCGUUCGCCAGGUGCUCCGAUACGCAUACAUAAGCGACGCAAAAUAUGUGAGAGCAGGGAGGGAGCUUUUACUCUGAGAAGAAAGCCACUCUCCGUUUACAGUGUAUAAGAUAACUUACUAUAUGUUGGCAUUAUGUGCUUUCAGCGUCAAUAAGUUUAAUCCACUGUUAAUGGAACAAUAUUUGACUGUAUAAUUAGGUAACAGAUAUGCAUUGCAUUAUUAUUUUUUAAUUCAAGAUGCAAAGAAUCCAAUUGCAUUGCUAUGCAACUAAUAAGAAAUAAAAAUGCAAGAAUUCCUACAAAAUGAUAAUCGCAAAAUA